AGCGAACGCUGGCGGCAGGCCUAACACAUGCAAGUCGAACGAACUCUUCGGAGUUAGUUGCGGACGGGUGAGUAACACGUGGGAACUUGCCUUUUGGUUCGGAAUAACUCAGGGAAACUUGUGCUAAUACCGAAUGUGCCCUUCGGGGGAAAGAUUUAUUGCCAUUAGAGCGGCCCGCGUCUGAUUAGCUAGUUGGGGAGGUAACGGCUCACCAAGGCGACGAUCAGUAGCUGGUCUGAGAGGAUGACCAGCCACACUGGGACUGAGACACGGCCCAGACUCCUACGGGAGGCAGCAGUGGGGAAUCUUGCGCAAUGGGCGAAAGCCUGACGCAGCCAUGCCGCGUGAAUGAUGAAGGUCUUAGGAUUGUAAAAUUCUUUCAACGGGGACGAUAAUGACGGUACCCGGAGAAGAAGCCCCGGCUAACUUCGUG
rnacentral:rRNA from 1 species